UACCAGCACCCCGAGUGGUCGGGGCGAUUAUUGGGCCUAAAGCAUCCGUAGCCGGUUUUACAAGUCCUCCGUUAAAUCCAACUGCUUAACAGAUGGGCUGCGGAGGAUACUAUAAGACUAGGAGGCAGGAGAGGCAAGCGGUACUCAGUGGGUAGGGGUAAAAUCCGUUGAUCCAUUGAAGACCACCAGUGGCGAAGGCGGCUUGCCAGAAUGCGCUCGACGGUGAGGGAUGAAAGCUGGGGGAGCAAACCGG
rnacentral:rRNA from 1 species